UACAGAGGGUGCAAGCGUUGCUCGGAAUCAUUGGGCGUAAAGGGUAGGUAGGUGGUCUCAUUUGUCGGUAGGUGAAAGCCUUGGGCUUAACUCAAGAAGUGCCUCCGAAACGGUGAGACUAGAGUUCUGGAGAGGCUAGGGGAAUUCCCGGUGUAGCGGUGAAAAUGCGUAGAGAUCGGGGAGGAACACCAGAGGCGAAGGCGCCUAGCUGGACAGAUACUGACACUCAAACUACGAAAAGCGUGGGGGAGCAAAACAGG
rnacentral:rRNA from 1 species